rnacentral:tRNA from 5 species
GCCCGAGUGGUGGAAUUGGUAGACGCAGCGGACUCAAAAUCCGCCGCCGCAAGGCGUGCCGGUUCGAUUCCGGCCUCGGGCACCA